GAUGAAGAACGCAGCGAAAUGCGAUACGUAAUGUGAAUUGCAGAUUUCAGUGAAUCAUCGAAUCUUUGAACGCACAUUGCGCCCGCCAGUAUUCUGGCGGGCAUGCCUGUUCGAGCGUCAUUUCAACCAUCAAGCGCCUCGCUUGUGUUGGGGCCCUGCGGCUGCCGCAGGCCCCUAAAUCCAGUGGCGGGCUCGUCGUCGUACCGAGUGCAGUAAACAUCAUCGCUCAGGGAACCCGACGGGUGCCGGCCGUGAAACCCCCCCUCCUCAAGGUUGACCUCGGAUCAGGUAGGAAUACCCGCUGAACUUAAGCAUAUCAAUAAGCGGAGGA
rnacentral:misc_RNA from 1 species